AGAGUUUGAUUCUGGCUCAGGAUGAACGCUGGCGGCGUGCUUAACACAUGCAAGUCGAACGGAGUUUUAACGGAAGUUUCGGGUGGAAGUUUAAGAACUUAGUGGCGGACGGGUGAGUAACGCGUGGGUAACCUGCCUCAGUACAGGGGGAUAACAGUUAGAAAUGACUGCUAACACCGCAUAAUAUAGCGAAACCGCAUGAUUUUGCUAUCAAAUAUUUAUAGGUAUGAGAUGGGCCCGCGUCUGAUUAGCUAGUUGGCGGGGUAAAAGCCUACCAGGGCGACGAUCAGUAGCCGGCUUGAGAGAGUGACCGGCCACAUUGGGACUGAGACACGGCCCAAACUCCUACGGGAGGCAGCAGUGGGGAAUAUUGGACAAUGGGGGAAACCCUGAUCCAGCGACGCCCGCGUGAGUGAAGAAGUAUUUCGGUAUGUAAAGCUCUAUCAGCAGGGAAGAUAAUGACAGUACCUGACUAAGAAGCCCCGGCUAACUACGUGCCAGCAGCUGC
rnacentral:rRNA from 1 species